rnacentral:ncRNA from 1 species
UUGAAGGCAGAGGGAGAGAUUACAAUUCCAGGCAAUUGUAACGCCGAAGGAGCAAGCCGUUGCGGAAGCGGUGAAUCUCUCAGGCAAAAGGACCUCUGCCGGACG